rnacentral:piRNA from 1 species
UGCUGAGCUAUUGAGAGAGACUCAGAA